rnacentral:lncRNA from 1 species
UAUCACUUACAAUAGGAAUUGGUUUAAAUUCCCCAAUUAAUUCUAGUCGGUCAAAUAUAUGAAUAAAUUGAUUUAACCUUUAUACCAUUAAUAUCAACAUAUUUCAUUUUUCAUAAAGAAGGACAAAAGUUUUCUAUGGGUAGAAAUUGAUAGUUGCUAAUUUGGGAAGCUUUCAAAUUCAUAGCAUGCCGGUGGCUGUGUUCAAAGUGCUGGGUUUUUUUUAUCACCCUCGUUGUUUGCGGACUAACGAUUUAGGCCUGUGAAGGAUAAUAGUGUGCGUGCAUUAAUUUUCUAUACCUUCUUAAUUAAUAUUUUCAUAUACUGACGGCAAGUGUUGUAAUGUAUCAGUGUCUUAUUUGAGACCAACGUGCUAUUUACAUGUGCGAUCGAAAAUGCAGGGGAAGGAAACUUGUCAAUUGUGUUUAUUUUUAAUCCAAAAUAAAAUAAGCCGCCGUAAAAUUAACCUUGGGUAAAUUCCUCAAAUUGAUGACAGAGGCUUCUUUUUUUUAAGCUAUAUUUUUAAUGACUUACACGUUUUACCAUUAUUCUUUUUCUUUCACUAUUCUUUGUUCCUUUUUUUCUUUGCCCGUUAUUCUCUAUUCUGUUAAUUCACAUCCACCAUACCCUCUUAUGUGGACUUUCGGUGGUUUAUUUUUUUAGUUCUGUGAUAAGUCAAUAUUUCAUGCAGGUUCAUGAAAUAAUGGUUUUAUGCAUAUCAGCCAAGAUUGUGCGUGGAAUUUUAAUAAACAAUUCAACACCACACGUUAUGUGAAUUUGAUUAAAAUCGAUGAACAUGAAUUUGACAGCUAGUAGUGACCCUUUUACAGGUAAAAUUCAAUUAACAAAUUCUGACCUACUGGCAUUCAACAC